UCCGGCUUAUCACCGGCAGUUCCCCUAGAGUGCCCGGCCGAACCGAUGGCAACAUAGGACAGGGGUUGCGCUCGUUACGGGACUUAACCCAACAUCUCACGACACGAGCUGACGACAGCCAUGCAGCACCUGUCUCAAUGUUCCCGAAGGCACCAAUCCAUCUCUGGAAAGUUCAUUGGAUGUCAAGGCCUGGUAAGGUUCUUCGCGUUGCUUCGAAUUAAACCACAUACUCCACCGCUUGUGCGGGCCCCCGUCAAUUCCUUUGAGUUUCAGUCUUGCGACCGUACUCCCCAGGCGGAGAGCUUAAUGCGUUAGCUGCGUCACCGACACGCAUGCGUGCCGACAACUAGCUCUCAUCGUUUACAGCGUGGACUAC
rnacentral:misc_RNA from 1 species